rnacentral:rRNA from 1 species
UACGAAGGGGGCGAGCGUUUGUUCGGAAUUACUGGGCGUAAAGGGCGCGCAGGCGGCUCUGAAAGUCAGAUGUGAAAGCCCGGGCUUAACCUGGGAACUGCAUUUGAUACUCUGGAGCUUGAGUGUGGGAGAGGAGAGUGGAAUUCCCAGUGUAGAGGUGAAAUUCGUAGAUAUUGGGAAGAACACCGGUGGCGAAGGCGGCUACUCUGGACCACAACUGACGCUGAGGCGCGGAAAGCGUGGGGAGCAAACAGGG